ensembl:lncRNA LINC02559 long intergenic non-protein coding RNA 2559
GAAACCUGAAGUUAUCCUGAGAACAAACGUCACUGCCAUGGAAACACCUCCUCCACGUUCCCGAUGGUGCACUGGUUUUCUUUCCUGUCUGACCAACAAGCCUCUGGAGAGUGGCCACCAUCUUACAGGCUCACUUUGUAUUCUGUAAACUUUCAGUUGGAAAAUAAACACACUGUCUCCCUGUCAAA